rnacentral:rRNA from 1 species
UACGUAGGGAGCAAGCGUUGUCCGGAAUCAUUGGGCGUAAAGCGCGCGUAGGUGGCUUCGUAAGUCCGUUGUGAAAGUCAAAGGCUCAACCUUUGAAAGCCGAUGGAUACUGUGAAGCUAGAGUACGGAAGAGGCGAGUGGAAUUCCUGGUGUAGCGGUGGAAUGCGCAGAUAUCAGGAGGAACACCAAUAGCGAAGGCAGCUCGCUGGGACGUUACUGACACUGAGGCGACGAAAGCGUGGGGAGCGAACAGGA